rnacentral:rRNA from 1 species
CCUACGGGUGGCAGCAGUGAGGAAUAUUGGUCAAUGGGCGGGAGCCUGAACCAGCCAAGCCGCGUGAGGGAAGAAGGUACAGCGUAUCGUAAACCUCUUUUGUCAGGGAACAAAGGCGGGGACUAGUCCCAGGAUGAGGGUACCUGAAGAAAAAGCAUCGGCUAACUCCGUGCCAGCAGCCGCGGUAAUACGGAGGAUGCGAGCGUUAUCCGGAUUUAUUGGGUUUAAAGGGUGCGUAGGCGGGUUAUCAAAUCAGCGGUAAAAUCGUGGAGCUCAACUCCAUCCAGCCGUUGAAUCUGAUGAUCUUGAGUGGGCGAGAAGUAUGCGGAAUGCGGGGUGUAGCGGUGAAAUGCAUAGAUAUCACGCAGAACUCCGAUUGCGAAGGCAGCAUACCGGCGCCCGACUGACGCUGAAGCACGAAAGCGUGGGUAUCGAACAGGAUUAGAUACCCGGGUAGUC